UACGUAGGGGGCUAGCGUUGUCCGGAUUUAUUGGGCGUAAAGAGCGUGUAGGCGGCCAGGUAGGUCUGGUGUGAAAACUCGAGGCUUAACCUCGAGAUGUCAUCGGAAACCGUCGGGCUAGAGUCCGGAAGAGGAGAGUGGAAUUCCUGGUGUAGCGGUGAAAUGCGCAGAUAUCAGGAGGAACACCCGUGGCGAAGGCGGCGUCCUGGACCAACACUGACACUGAUGAGCGAAAGCCAGGGGAGCAAACGGG
rnacentral:rRNA from 1 species